rnacentral:rRNA from 2 species
CUGGCUCAGGACGAACGCUGGCGGCGUGCUUAACACAUGCAAGUCGAACGGUGAUGUCAGAGCUUGCUCUGGCGGAUCAGUGGCGAACGGGUGAGUAACACGUGAGUAACCUGCCCCCGACUCUGGGAUAACUGCUAGAAAUGGUAGCUAAUACCGGAUAUGACGAUUGGCCGCAUGGUCUGGUCGUGGAAAGAAUUUCGGUUGGGGAUGGACUCGCGGCCUAUCAGGUUGUUGGUGAGGUAAUGGCUCACCAAGCCUACGACGGGUAGCCGGCCUGAGAGGGUGACCGGCCACACUGGGACUGAGACACGGCCCAGACUCCUACGGGAGGCAGCAGUGGGGAAUAUUGCACAAUGGGCGAAAGCCUGAUGCAGCAACGCCGCGUGAGGGAUGACGGCCUUCGGGUUGUAAACCUCUUUUAGUAGGGAAGAAGCGAAAGU